UACGGAGGGUGCAAGCAUUAAUCGGAUUUAUUGGGCGUAAAGGGCGCGUAGGCGGGGGCGUAAGUCAGAUGUGAAAGCCCGGGGCUCAACCUCGGAAUUGCAUUUGAAACUGCAUCUCUAGAGGAUAGGCGGAGAAAAUGGAAUUCCACAAGUAGCGGUGAAAUGCGUAGAUAUGUGGAAGAACACCAGUGGCGAAGGCGGUUUUCUAGCUUAUACCUGACGCUGAUGCGCGAAAGCAAGGGGAUCAAACAGG
rnacentral:rRNA from 1 species